rnacentral:piRNA from 1 species
UUUUAAAAAAUAAGGACACAG